UGACCGCUCUAUAGAUAGAGUUUUCCCCUUCGGGGGACAAAGGGACAGGUGGUGCAUGGUUGUCGUCAGCUCGUGUCGUGAGAUGUUGUGUUAAGUCCCGCAACGAGCGCAACCCUUGAGCUUAGUUGCCAUCAUUAAGUUGGGCACUUUAAGUUGACUGCCGGUGACAAACCGGAGGAAGGUGGGGAUGCACGUCAAAUCAUCAUGCCCCUUAUGAUUUGGGCUACACACGUGCUACAAUGGACAAUACAAAGGGCAGCUAAACCGCGAGGUCAAGCAAAUCCCAUAAAGUUGUUGUCAGUUCGGAUUGUAGUCUGCAACUCGACUACAUGAAGCUGGUAAUUGCUAGUAAUUGUAGAUCAGCAUGCUACGGUGAAUACGUUCCCGGGUC
rnacentral:rRNA from 1 species